rnacentral:rRNA from 1 species
UACGGAGGGGGCUAGCGUUGUUCGGAAUUACUGGGCGUAAAGCGCACGUAGGCGGCUUUGUAAGUUAGAGGUGAAAGCCCGGGGCUCAACUCCGGAAUUACCUUUAAGACUGCAUCGCUCGAAUUGUGGAGAGGUAAGUGGAAUUCCGAGUGUAGAGGUGAAAUUCGUAGAUAUUCGGAAGAACACCAGUGGCGAAGGCGACUUACUGGACACAUAUUGACGCUGAGGUGCGAAAGCGUGGGGAGCAAACAGG